CCGACUGAUACUCAUUCUCUCUUAAAGUUGUACUUUUGGUUCACUGAUCCUUAUAGUUAAUAGCUCCUUGUUGUUGCUUGUUUCUUAUUGUAUGUUAGUCUCCUUCUCUCCUCUCUUUUCUUUUUGUGUUGUAAUAAAUUGUUCUGCAACAUUGUAAAAAACAGAAAAUCAGUAUGGAAUUUAACAUUUGUACCAAAAAAAAAAAAAAACUGAGAGUGGCUGUGAAGAUUCAUCCUACUCUCAACCCUCUCCAAUUUAUAGGGUCUGAGGUGAUUCGGAUCUCAUUGUAUGGGAAGGGAGACAGAGAGUUCGAAAUUGUCAAUGAGUUUAAUGAGAAUAACAUUUAUUGUCUAAGUUAAGAGGAAUACAUUGAAUUGAACCAAAAGGAAGAUGUGAAUAUGAAAAGAUAGGAGAGGUGAAGAGGUGGAUAGUAGGGAAAAAGAAAUCGUGUUUCUGCAGACUUAUGAGAAACAGGCAGAGAUGGUGAGGUUGAAGGGUCGACGAAGGAAAACAAUGAAAACCUAAUGGUCAUAAAACAGCAGAGCUUGUUU
rnacentral:lncRNA from 1 species